rnacentral:lncRNA from 1 species
GCCUAAGAGGUUCACAAGUGUGGACAGGCGAUGGUUCAAAAUAGAGGUCUUUCGAGGGAAAACUAUUCAGUGCCCAGCUUCUUUCUUCUAGGGAUGAAGGAAGGAAGAGGAAGGUAAGAGGUCCCUGUUUUCUCUGAUGGUUUUGUGAAGCCCUGCAAGGCAAAGUCAACUACUACUGAUU